UACGAAGGGGGCUAGCGUUGCUCGGAAUCACUGGGCGUAAAGCGCACGUAGGCGGCUUCUUAAGUCAGGGGUGAAAUCCUGGAGCUCAACUCCAGAACUGCCUUUGAUACUGGGAGGCUCGAGUCCGGGAGAGGUGUGUGGAACUGCGAGUGUAGAGGUGAAAUUCGUAGAUAUUCGCAAGAACACCAGUGGCGAAGGCGGCUCACUGGCCCGGUACUGACGCUGAGGUGCGAAAGCGUGAGGAGCAAACAGG
rnacentral:rRNA from 1 species